rnacentral:rRNA from 1 species
GUUCAGAUUGCAGGCUGAAACUCGCCUGCAUGAAGUCGGAAUUGCUAGUAAUCGCAGAUCAGCAUGCUGCGGUGAAUACGUUCCCGGGCCUUGUACACACCGCCCGUCACACCAUGGGAGUCGGUAACACCCGAAGCCUGUAGUCUAACCGCAAGGAGGACGCAGUCGAAGGUGGGAUUGAUGACUGGGGUGAAGUCGUAACAAGGUACC